rnacentral:tRNA from 1 species
GGGUAAGGUAGUUCAAUGGCAGAACACCCGAUUGUGGAUCGGAGGAUCAGGGUUCGAUUCCCGCCUUUACCCC